rnacentral:SRP_RNA from 1 species
GCUCCGGACCCGUGCAGCGGGAUGUCGCGAACUCCGCCAGGUCCGGGAGGAAGCAACGGUAGUGGCCUCUGCCGCGUGCCGCGGUUGUCUCCGG